rnacentral:rRNA from 1 species
AGUGAACGCUGGCGGCAGGCCUAACACAUGCAAGUCGAACGGCAGCACAAGAGAGCUUGCUCUCUGGGUGGCGAGUGGCGGACGGGUGAGGAAUGCAUCGGAAUCUGCCCAUUUGUGGGGGAUAACCUCGGGAAACCGGGACUAAUACCGCAUACGACCUACGGGUGAAAGCAGGGGAUCUUCGGACCUUGCGCAGAUGGAUGAGCCGCUGCCGGAUUAGCUAGUUGGAGGGGUAAAGGCCCACCAAGGCGACGAUCCGUAGCUGGUCUGAGAGGAUGAUCAGCCACACUGGGACUGAGACACGGCCCAGACUCCGACGGGGGGCAGCAGUGGGGAAUAUUGGACAAUGGGCGCAAGCCUGAUCCAGCCAUGCCGCGUGUGUGAAGAAGGCCUUCGGGUUGUAAAGCACUUUUGUUGGGAAAGAAAAGCAGCCGGUUAAUACCCGGUUGUCAUGACGGUACCCAAAGAAUAAGCACCGGCUAACUUCGUG